rnacentral:rRNA from 1 species
CGAGCGAACUGAUUAGAAGCUUGCUUCUAUGACGUUAGCGGCGGACGGGUGAGUAACACGUGGGCAACCUGCCUGUAAGACUGGGAUAACUUCGGGAAACCGAAGCUAAUACCGGAUAGGAUCUUCUCCUUCAUGGGAGAUGAUUGAAAGAUGGUUUCGGCUAUCACUUACAGAUGGGCCCGCGGUGCAUUAGCUAGUUGGUGAGGUAACGGCUCACCAAGGCAACGAUGCAUAGCCGACCUGAGAGGGUGAUCGGCCACACUGGGACUGAGACACGGCCCAGACUCCUACGGGAGGCAGCAGUAGGGAAUCUUCCGCAAUGGACGAAAGUCUGACGGAGCAACGCCGCGUGAGUGAUGAAGGCUUUCGGGUCGUAAAACUCUGUUGUUAGGGAAGAACAAGUACAAGAGUAACUGCUUGUACCUUGACGGUACCUAACCAGAAAGCCACGGCUAACUACGUGCCAGCAGCCGCGGUAAUACGUAGGUGGCAAGCGUUAUCCGGAAUUAUUGGGCGUAAAGCGCGCGCAGGCGGUUUCUUAAGUCUGAUGUGAAAGCCCACGGCUCAACCGUGGAGGGUCAUUGGAAACUGGGGAACUUGAGUGCAGAAGAGAAAAGCGGAAUUCCACGUGUAGCGGUGAAAUGCGUAGAGAUGUGGAGGAACACCAGUGGCGAAGGCGGCUUUUUGGUCUGUAACUGACGCU